UGCAUUCACUACUGUAAGUCGCUCUGGAUAAGACCGUCUGCUAAAUGAGAUAUU
rfam:Salmo salar isolate Sally breed double haploid chromosome ssa09, whole genome shotgun sequence.